UCCCUCAUAGCUCAGUUGGUAAAGAAUCUGCCUGCAAUGCAGGUGACCCAGGUUCAAUUCCUGGGUUGGGAA
rnacentral:tRNA from 1 species